GGAAGCACCAGGCGGCUGAGGCAAGCAGCACUGCCUGCUGUCCCAGCCUUGCUUACACAGCGUCCCGAGAGCAACUCGGUACGUGGGUGUCCGGGAUUGCCUUCUGUCCCCUCGGAGCCUGCCAGCAGCACACCGGAACGGAGCUCAGUGGCGUUACGGGAUACACACACGUAAAUAGGAGGAGAAGAAGGGGAAUUCAGCGACCAGCAGCCCUGAAGGUCUUUGCCAAUCAAGGACUUCACUUGUCUGGGACACACCCCUGAGCACAUGCGGAAAAACGGGAGCAAGAUGUCACUGCACUGACUCAAUCCAGUUUGUAAUAAAGGCAGUGCUGGCUGUGAGUACAAUUGAGUUACUUUUUUCACAGACAGGAAUUAUCUAGUGAUAAAACAAAAGUGACUUCAAACACACUUAUCAAGAACAGACGCUGCAGUGACGGCCAUGGCAGCCAAUUUGUGUCUGCCCUCCCAACCUCCUCAGCUGCCCAAAGCAAAACACUGCCUGUGAAAGGCAAUGCCUUCCCAG